rnacentral:rRNA from 1 species
UACGUAGGGUGCGAGCGUUAAUCGGAAUUACUGGGCGUAAAGCGUGCGCAGGCGGUUCGUUGUGUCGGCGGUGAAAGCCCCGGGCUUAACCUGGGAACGGCCGUUGAAACUGGCGAACUGGAGUGUGGCAGAGGGGGGUGGAAUUCCGCGUGUAGCAGUGAAAUGCGUAGAGAUGCGGAGGAACACCGAUGGCGAAGGCGGGUCUCUGGGCAGUAACUGACGCUGAGGAGCGAAAGCGUGGGGAGCGAACAGG